rnacentral:misc_RNA from 1 species
UCCAGUUAUCAAAAAUGUUCUACCAUGAUAGAGUUCCCAAACGCAAAAGACAGUUGGGAACUAAAGGAACACAUUAAAGGUUCUACAAAAUCCAACAAAAAACAUACUGAAAUAAUUCUACUCUGCUGUUGCAGCAACUCACUGUGAGACUCCAAGCCACUUUGUGAAGUUAUCAAAUUCGGUGUAGUCGCUAUCUGAAAUCAUAGUCUUGUACCAAGCUUUUCCAGCAGCUUUAAUUUUAUCAGCUUCUUCCUUGGAGAGUGGUGUCCUCUUCUUGUCCAGCUUUUCUUUCUUCGACUUCACACGCUGCGCCUCAGCAAGUAACGCCAUCCUCCUGGCAGUCUUUGCAUAGGGAUUCAGCCUCAGCAGAGUGUUGAGGUUCUUAAGCGGGUUCUUCUUCAACGUCCGGCGCUUGACGUCCUUGUUGAUCGGCCUGACAACCGACUGCACCUCGUCAGAGUUGAUGAUCCUCGAGAGAUCUGGAUUCGACAUCUUGGACCUCGGCAGCACAUAACCCUUCUUCUGAUCAGAAGCCUUCUCAAAGGUCCCGAAGACCGAG